rnacentral:rRNA from 1 species
UACUUAGUGGCAGACGGGUGAGUAACAUGUGGGUAUCUACCCUUUGGCCUGGAAUAACACGAGGAAACUUGUGCUAAUACCGGAUAAGUCUUUACGGAGAAAGCUUUAUGCACCAUUGGAUGAGCCCGCACUUGAUUAGUUUGUUGGUAGGGUAAUGGCCUACCAAGACUAUGAUCAAUAGCUGAUUUGAGAGGAUGAUCAGCCACAUUGGGACUGAGACACGGCCCAAACUCCUACGGGAGGCAGCAGUGGGGAAUCUUGCACAAUGGAGGAAACUCUGAUGCAGCGAUGCCGCGUGAGUGAAGAAGGCCUUUGGGUUGUAAAGCUCUUUCGUCGGGGAAGAAAAUGACUGUACCCGAAUAAGAAGGUCCGGCUAACUUCGUGCCAGCAGCCGCGGUAAUACGAAGGGACCUAGCGUAGUUCGGAAUUACUGGGCUUAAAGAGUUCGUAGGUGGUUGAAAAAGUUGGUGGUGAAAUCCCAGAGCUUAACUCUGGAACUGCCAUCAAAACUUUUUAGCUAGAGUAUGAUAGAGGAAAGCAGAAUUUCUAGUGUAGAGGUGAAAUUCGUAGAUAUUAGAAAGAAUACCAACUGCGAAGGCAGCUUUCUGGAUCAUUACUGACACUGAGGAACGAAAGCAUGGGUAGCGAAGAGGAUUAGAUACCCUCGUAGUCCAUGCCGUAAACGA